UCGGGAAUAUUGCGCAAUGGAGGAAACUCUGACGCAGUGACGCCGCGUGCAGGAAGAAGGUUUUCGGAUUGUAAACUGCUUUAGACAGGGAAGAAAAAGGACAGUACCUGUAGAAUAAGCUCCGGCUAACUACGUGCCAGCAGCCGCGGUAAUACGUAGGGAGCAAGCGUUAUCCGGAUUUAUUGGGUGUAAAGGGUGCGUAGACGGGAAAUUAAGUUAGUUGUGAAAUCCCUCGGCUUGAACUGAGGAACGAUGCAACUAAAACUGGUUUUCUUGAGUGCUGGAGAGGAAAGUGGAAUUCCUAGUGUAGCGGUGAAAUGCGUAGAUAUUAGGAGGAACACCAGUGGCGAAGGCGACUUCUGGACAGUAACUGACGUUGAGGCACGAAAGUGUGGGGAGCAAACAGGAUUAGAUACC
rnacentral:rRNA from 1 species